rnacentral:sRNA from 1 species
GGAGGCGCGGACGCUGCCUUCUACGGCGAAUUCGUGUUCCGUCCCCCGGGGGGCUGGGCGGGGAGGGUCCCAUGCCGGGCUUAACUCCCCGGGGCGGGCAAACCGCCGAGUGAGACCGCAGGCUGCGGAAUAGGCGGUCUUCCUCCACCGGCUCACUGCGGCAGGGCACGGCCCGUUCCGUGAACUAGCCAGCGCGAGCGCGUGGGCGCGAGAGGACGACGCCCGCCCCUGCCUGUCUGUACGGACGACGGCCUCGAGCGUCCGGGCGGGCGGGGGAGGUGCGCCACACGCCCGCCGUCCAUAUAUUACUACCUAAUUUUUUAAUCAUACUGGCCUUAUUUAUCUUCACCCUAAUCAGUAAUCUCUUCAUAACCUUACACGAGUAUCAUACAAUGCACAAGGGUCUUGUUCCCAUUAGGCCUGGGCGGCGCAUUAAUUUGCCGCUGCAGAUCAAGUCUGAAGCUAUACUGCGAUCGCCGCUUAUGCUAAUUAUUUCUAGGAGUCCAGAAUAUCAAUCACAAAUAUGGACAAUUAUGGCCUCGAAAAGGUGAGACCGUUCAGGGUGGAACCGGUGCUGAAAACCUGAGAUGAAUGUCAGUUCCACCCCACAACGUUACCUCCUUAGUAUACGACCUUAUCUGUCAACUCAUACAUUAAGAUAAUAAAAAUGUAUGUGGUUACCUCUGAACGUCGAAUGAACACCGAUAGUUAGGUGAAUCACUGUAAAGGUUACACCUACGGAAACUCGUAGGAAAAGUAAAUCGUGUCAAAAGCGUACCGAAGUACUGUAACACCGCUACAAAAAAAAAAAAAAAA